rnacentral:rRNA from 1 species
CGCUAUCACUCCUACGGGAGGCAGCAGUGGGGGAAUAUUGCACAAUGGGCGAAAGCCUGAUGCAGCCAUGCCGCGUGUGUGAAGAAGGCCUUCGGGUUGUAAAGCACUUUCAGCGAGGAGGAAAGGUUGACGGUUAAUACCCGUCAGCUGUGACGUUACUCGCAGAAGAAGCACCGGCUAACUCCGUGCCAGCAGCCGCGGUAAUACGGAGGGUGCGAGCGUUAAUCGGAAUUACUGGGCGUAAAGCGCAUGCAGGCGGCCAAGUCAGUCAGAUGUGAAAGCCCCCGGGCUUAACCUGGGAAUUGCAUUUGAAACUGCUUGGCUAGAGUCCUUGAGAGGGGGUAGAAUUUCAGGUGUAGCGGUGAAAUGCGUAGAGAUCUGAAGGAAUACCAGUGGCGAAGGCGGCCCCCUGGCAAGAGACUGACGCUCAGAUGCGAAAGCGUGGGGAGCAAACAGGAUUAGAUACCCUGGUAG